UUUUUACGCCGAAUCCAUUUUCGGAGCGGGGGAACCAAUUUUUGGGGUGAAUGAGGAUUUCUUUUUCUGGCAGUUCACGGCAGUCCAGUAAAGCGAAAUCUGAAAGGGUAGUCUUCUCUGUCCUAACCCGUCAGCUAACCUCGUAGGCGGUAGAGAGAGGAA
rnacentral:sRNA from 1 species